CUGGUCUAUAGUCUAGGAGAGGGAAAAGAGGGAGAAGGAGUGAGCAUAAACAAGGCCAAAAAAGGAAGUAGCUUCCUCCAUACUUCUACCUGGUCAAGUAGAAGCCUCCCUAUGUUGGCUCUGUCUCAUCAGAUUCCCCACCCACCACUCCCACAGCCCCAUUGCUAAAGUUCCACCCUCACAGUCCUCCCUCUCUUAUUACCAGCUAUGUUUUACCUACUCCUUUCCCUAGUCUCCUCAGGGUCAGGCAUCCUCUCCGACUACUCCCUCAGCUGCAGAUCCCCACCCUCCUCUGAAUCCCAGCGGCCUUCGGCUUCAACAGAAGUUCACUGAAUGUCGUUAAGGAUCAGACCUGUGUGCUGAGGAUUCAAAAUCAUCUCCGUUCCACCUUUUCCCCCACCUUGAUACCCCAUCGCCCCUACAACCGCCUCCCCGAAGGACACCUUGACCAGAGAACACAGCAAACAAGCCCGUAGAUGCCGUAGGUCCUUCGGCACCGUCUCCAGGGCCAUCCUCUCCGACAAAUGAACAGCAAAGAUUUGGGCCACGGCCUCCUCAGCCGCAGGAAGUAAACAGCGAUUUACCCAGAA